UGGGGAAUAUUGGGCAAUGGACGCAAGUCUGACCCAGCAACGCCGCGUGAAGGAAGAAGGCUUUCGGGUUGUAAACUUCUUUUGUCAGGGAAGAGCAGAAGACGGUACCUGACGAAUAAGCCACGGCUAACUACGUGCCAGCAGCCGCGGUAAUACGUAGGUGGCAAGCGUUGUCCGGAUUUACUGGGUGUAAAGGGCGUGUAGCCGGGGAGACAAGUCAGAUGUGAAAUCUGGAGGCUCAACCUCCAAACUGCAUUUGAAACUGUUUCUCUUGAGUAUCGGAGAGGUAAUCGGAAUUCCUAGUGUAGCGGUGAAAUGCGUAGAUAUUAGGAAGAACACCAGUGGCGAAGGCGGAUUACUGGGCACCAACUGACGCUGAGGCUCGAAAGCAUGGGUAGCAAACAGGAUUAGAUACCCUGGUAGUCCAUGCCGUAAACGAUGAUUACUAGGUGUUGGAGGAUUGACCCCUUCAGUGCCGCAGUUAACACAAUAAGUAAUCCACCUGGGGAGUACGACCGCAAGGUUGAAACUCAAAGGAAUUGACGGGGGCCCGCACAAGCAGUGGAGUAUGUGGUUUAAUUCGAAGCAACGCGAAGAACCUUACCAAGUCUUGACAUCCUUCUGACCGGUACUUAACCGUACCUUCUCUUCGGAGCAGGAGUGACAGGUGGUGCAUGGUUGUCGUCAGCUCGUGUCGUGAGAUGUUGGGUUAAGUCCCGCAACGAGCGCAACCCUUAUCUUUAGUAGCCAGCGGUCCGGCCGGGCACUCUAGAGAGACUGCCAGGGAUAACCUGGAGGAAGGCGGGGAUGACGUCAAAUCAUCAUGCCCCUUAUGACUUGGGCUACACACGUGCUACAAUGGCGUAAACAAAGGGAAGCAAGACCGCGAGGUGGAGCAAAACUCAAAAACAACGUCUCAGUUCAGAUUGCAGGCUGCAACUCGCCUGCAUGAAGUCGGAAUUGCUAGUAAUCGCGGAUCAGCAUGCCGCGGUGAAUACGUUCCC
rnacentral:rRNA from 1 species